CUAUGCACCUGCCAGGGGAGAUACUAUGAUCACGAAGGUGGUUUUCCCAGGGCGAGGCUUAUCCAUUGCACUCCAGAUGUGCUGACCCCUGCAAUUUCCCCAAAUGUGGGAAACUCAACUGCAUAAUUUGUGGUAGUGGGGGACUGCAUUCGUGCUCUCCCCUA
rnacentral:snRNA from 1 species